rnacentral:rRNA from 1 species
UACAGAGGUCCCGAGCGUUGUUCGGAAUUACUGGGCGUAAAGGGCUCGUAGGUGGCAAACUAAGUCAGACGUGAAAUCCCUCAGCUUAACUGGGGAACUGCGUCUGAUACUGGAUGGCUUGAGUUUGGGAGAGGGAUGCGGAAUUCCAGGUGUAGCGGUGAAAUGCGUAGAUAUCUGGAGGAACACCGGUGGCGAAGGCGGCAUCCUGGACCAACACUGACACUGAGGAGCGAAAGCCAGGGGAGCAAACGGG